rnacentral:rRNA from 1 species
CAGCCCAUUAAGUUAUGUGUGUUUUAGUGGAACGCUCUGGGAAGUGCGAACGUAGAGGGUGAUAUUCCCGUACACGAAAGGGCACACAUAAUGAUGACGAGUAGGGCGAGGCACGUGAAACCUUGUCUGAAUAUGGGGGGACCAUCCUCCAAGGCUAAAUACUCCUGACUGACCGAUAGUGAACCAGUACCGUGAGGGAAAGGCGAAAAGAACCCCUGUGAGGGGAGUGAAAUAGAUCCUGAAACCGCAUGCAUACAAGCAGUGGGAGCACCUUCGUGGUGUGACUGCGUACCUUUUGUAUAAUGGGUCAGCGACUUAUAUUCAGUAGCGAGGUUAACCGUAUAGGGGAGCCGUAGAGAAAUCGAGUCUUAAUAGGGCGUUUAGUUGCUGGGUAUAGACCCGAAACCAGGCGAUCUAUCCAUGAGCAGGUUGAAGGUUGGGUAACACUAACUGGAGGACCGAACCCACUGUCGUUGAAAAGCCAGGGGAUGACUUGUGGAUAGGGGUGAAAGGCUAAUCAAGCCUGGUGAUAGCUGGUUCUCCCCGAAAGCUAUUUAGGUAGCGCCUCGGACGAAUACCAUAGGGGGUAGAGCACUGUUUCGGCUAGGGGGUCAUCCCGACUUACCAAACCGAUGCAAACUCCGAAUACCUAUGAGUACUAUCCGGGAGACAGACUGCGGGUGCUAACGUCCGUAGUCAAGAGGAAAACAAUCCAGACCGCCAGCUAAGGCCCCAAAAUCAUAGUUAAGUGGGAAACGAUGUGGGAAGGCAUAGACAGCUAGGAGGUUGGCUUAGAAGCAGCCACCCUUUAAAGAAAGCGUAAUAGCUCACUAGUCGAGUCGGCCUGCGCGGAAGAUGUAACGGGGCUAAAACUAUGUGCCGAAGCUGCGGAUGUAUACUUUGUAUACGUGGUAGGGGAGCGUUCUGUAAGCCGAUGAAGGUGUGUUGAGAAGCAUGCUGGAGGUAUCAGAAGUGCGAAUGCUGACGUGAGUAACGACAAAACGGGUGAAAAACCCGUUCGCCGAAAGACCAAGGGUUCCAGUCCAACGUUAAUCGGGGCUGGGUGAGUCGACCCCUAAGGCGAGGCCGAAAGGCGUAGUCGAUGGGAAAAUGGUUAAUAUUCCAUUACUUCUGUGUAAUGCGAUGAGAGGACGGAGAAGGCUAAAUCAGCCUGGCGUUGGUUGUCCAGGUGAAAGGAUGUAGGCAUGUAUCUUAGGCAAAUCCGGGGUACUCUAUGCUGAGAUCUGAUAGCAAGCUGUACUUGUACAGCGAAGUGGUUGAUGCCAUGCUUCCAGGAAAAGUCUCUAAGCUUCAGUUACACAGGAAUCGUACCCGAAACCGACACAGGUGGUCAGGUCGAGUAGACCAAGGCGCUUGAGAGAACUCUGCUGAAGGAACUAGGCAAAAUGGUACCGUAACUUCGGGAGAAGGUACGCUGUUGUUGGUGAUGGAACUCGCUUCCUGAGCUGACGACAGCCGCAGAAACCAGGCCGCUGCAACUGUUUAUUAAAAACAUAGCACUCUGCAAACACGAAAGUGGACGUAUAGGGUGUGAUGCCUGCCCGGUGCUGGAAGGUUAAUUGAUGGGGUUAGCGUAAGCGAAGCUCUUGAUCGAAGCCCCAGUAAACGGCGGCCGUAACUAUAACGGUCCUAAGGUAGCGAAAUUCCUUGUCGGGUAAGUUCCGACCUGCACGAAUGGCAUAAUGAUGGCGGCGCUGUCUCCAGCAGAGGCUCAGUGAAAUCGAAAUCGCUGUGAAGAUGCAGUGUACCCGCGGCUAGACGGAAAGACCCCGUGAACCUUUACUGCAGCUUGACACUGAACUUUGACCUUACUUGUGUAGGAUAGGUGGGAGGCUUUGAAGCUGGAACGCUAGUUCCAGUGGAGCCGUCCUUGAAAUACCACCCUGGUAAUGUUGAGGUUCUAACUCUGUCCCGUGAUCCGGGACGAGGACCGUGUCUGGUGGGUAGUUUGACUGGGGCGGUCUCCUCCUAAAGAGUAACGGAGGAGUACGAAGGUGCGCUCAGCGUGGUCGGAAAUCACGCGUAGAGUAUAAAGGCAAAAGCGCGCUUAACUGCGAGACCCACAAGUCGAGCAGGUACGAAAGUAGGUCUUAGUGAUCCGGUGGUUCUGUAUGGAAGGGCCAUCGCUCAACGGAUAAAAGGUACUCUGUGGAUAACAGGCUGAUACCGCCCAAGAGUUCAUAUCGACGGCGGUGUUUGGCACCUCGAUGUCGGCUCAUCUCAUCCUGGGGCUGAAGCAGGUCCCAAGGGUAUGGCUGUUCGCCAUUUAAAGAGGUACGCGAGCUGGGUUUAGAACGUCGUGAGACAGUUCGGUCCCUAUCUACCGUGGGCGCUGGAAAUUUGAGAGGAUCUGCUCCUAGUACGAGAGGACCAGAGUGGACGAACCUCUGGUGUACCGGUUGUGACGCCAGUCGCAUCGCCGGGUAGCUAUGUUCGGAAGGGAUAACCGCUGAAAGCAUCUAAGCGGGAAGCCUACCUCAAGAUAAGAUUUCCCUAGGACUUUAUGUCCUCUAAAGAGCCGUUCGAGACUAGGACGUUGAUAGGUUGGAUGUGGAAGCAUAGUGAUAUGUGAAGCUGACCAAUACUAAUUGCUCGUGAGGCUUGACUA